GUUGCCCAUUCAAGUUUCUUUCGAGAAAUUCCAACCCUAUGCUAACUGAAUGAAGUUAAAUAGGGCUGACUUGGCAUAGAUGGAAAGAAAUAAUGUGUCUUUUUUCAAAGAUUUUAUUUAUUUAUUUGAGAGAGCUAGCAGAAGCCGAGGAGGGGAGCCCUGAGAAGCAGAGGGAAAGGGAGAAGCAGGCUCCCUGAUGAGAAGCCGACAGGGGACUUGAUUCCAGGACCCUCCUUUCCUUAAUUCCCCCCCGCCCCACCGCUAAUUUAGCUACAUUUGAGUGAAGCAACGGCUUUGCUGCAGCUUAUAGCACACUGAACCCUGAAGCCAUUUAGAGCUUCAAUCCUAGGUAGGCCACGUCUCAUUUCUGCUUAUUUUAGUCUGAGUCUCUCUUUGAGUUUCUCAGGAUCCCUCCCACCUUAGUUUUCUGUGACAUUUGUGGUCACUGGGCAAUGUGCUUACCUGCGUUACUCCUAACUGCCACCAGGUGGUGUCCAAUGCUGGAUCCCAUAGUUCACAUGUUCUUUUUAUUUUACAUAAGUCUGGGAAGACGUCAGUUUUGCUUUCACCAUAAAAAUAUACCCUUGAUAUAGAAUGUAAAGUGUUUAACCAUUAAUUGGCCACCAGUCUUGGAUAAUCACGACACACAUUUGUAUCAUGCUCUAUCACCGACAAAGUGUGUUCACAUUCUUUCCUUUUGUGUUUCUGAUAGAUCUUUAAGGCAAUAAGGCAGAUAUUUUCAUUUGCCAGACCUUACAGAUGACAGAAAGGGUGGGUUAUAUGGGCCAAAGUCACACAGUUGCUAAGCAGUAAGGCCUGAGUCAAUCCAAGCAACUUGUUCAACGCUGCGCUUUAAUGACACAAAUAAAGGAGGAACACCAGUUACAGGUUUUAAAGCCCCAGUAUUAUACAGCUCCACAAAAUUAUCAUCCCCUUAUUGCUUUUAGGAAACUGUUGAGGGUAUAUUCUGGGUGUGGCAUCUAUAUUUUUCCAUGCAGUCUAUGCCUGAGACCCACAGAGCAUUCACCUGUCUACUUUGCAGCUUUACAGGAAAUGUUAAUUGCCGUUUGUAAUCUUCAGUUUCCCUCUAUGCUGAAUACUCUUUCUUUUUGUCUUAUUUUGUACAAUGAAAGGCUGUCCCUCUUCUUUUAUUUUCUUGAAUAAUAAGGAUCCCUAAACAUGACACAUAGCUCAAAUGAAAUGUUAACACAUGAUUGUUUCUUCCUCAGUCAGGAAAAAAAAAUCCCUAGUAACUAAGUUGCUAUGUUCUCCUAGGAAGCUCAGCUAUUGUCACUGAAUACUCAGAUCUAGCUUUUCUUCUUAAAGGAUCCAAAACCAAUAUUUUCCUUAUAAGGAAUUUUAUGAUGAUUUUAAAAUAAAUUUUGGGGUACCUGGGUGGCUCAGUUGGUUAAGCAUCUGCCUUCAGUUCAGGUCAUGAUCCCAGGGUCCUGGGAUGGAGCCCCACAUUGGACUCUGCUCAGCAGGGAGUCUGCUUCAUCUUCUCCCUUUGCCCUUCACCCCAUUUGUGCUUUCUCUCAAAUAAAUAAAAUCCUUUUUAAGAUUUUAUUUAUUUAUUCAUGAGAGACACAGAGCGAGAGAGAGAGAGAGAGAGAGAGAGGCAGAGACACAGGCAGAGGGAGAAGCAGGCUCCAUGCAGGGAGCCCGAUGUGGGACUUGAUCCCAGGUCUCCAGGAUCAGGCCCUGGGCUGAAGGCGGUGCUAAACCACUGAGCCACCCAGGCUGCCCUCAAAUAAAAUCUUUUUAAAAAAAUAAAUUUUAAAAGUAGUUAAAAUGUGAUUUCCUUAUAACCAUCUACUCAUAGAUUAACUCAUGGCAAGCCAGUAAGAUUAUAAGUGCAUUUAAAAAAAAUAGUAGUUAUAGCAAUUUUUGUUUAUUGAUCACUCACAGGCUUAUAGACACUCUGCCAACCAUUUAAAAAAUUUUUGCAGCUCAUCUUCAUAAGAACUUUACACAGUAGAUAUCUUUAUUAUUUUUUCAUGGUGGAAAAAAUUAUGCUUAGAAUUAGCCAGCUGGACUGAGUUUAGGAGAUCCCAAUUUUGCCGGCAUCCUCCAAAGCACCAUAGAGGCUAGUAAAACAUACUUUCUUCCCUCCAUCAGGCCUAAUCAGGGUAUUGACCCUGGCUAUAUCAGUAUCAUAGACCUUCUUGGGGCGCCUGGGUGGCUCAGUGGUUGAGUGUCUGCCUUUGGCUCAGGUUGUGAUCCCAAGGUCCUGGGAUCAAGUCCUGCCUCCUCAUGCUCCCCAUAGGAAGCUGGCUUCUCCCUCUGCCUAUGUCUCUGCCUCUCUCUCAUGAAUUAAGAAAAUCUUUAGAAAAAAAUAUCAUAGGCCUUCUGGAUAACCUAUUUGAUCUGGGGCUUGUUGGCCUUUACAAGUAUAAUGAACAGAGAUGUGUGUUUGUGGUCAGGAGAGCUUGAUGGCAGAGUGGCCAAACCUGUUUCUCCUGGGGAGCACUCUCAUGAGGAUACUAGGCUGCCUGAAGAUAGGUGCCAUGUGUGUCAAGUGUGGCUGUGGACAUCUUUCAGCACCACUUUCUUGGCCUUCAAGGCCUUUGCUUUUCCGUUAGCUGUGAGAGGCAUGGGGGUUUCCUUCUUUGAUUGUGGCACCAUCUUCUUGAAAAGUCAUAGAUAACUUUAUUAUCUGUAUUUUCUAGGUAAAGAAACUGAAGCUUAGAGAAGUUCAAAGCCUAACUUCAGAAUAAGCAAUAAAGCUGGCAUUUAUUGCUGCCGGAAUACAGCAUCUUCAGGCUUCUUGGGCUUGAGAAUAAGUCAAUUUGAUUCUAAAUCCUUAAUAAUAAGCAUCCUGGGAUGCCUGGGUGGCUUAGUUAAGUGUCUGCCUUCAGCUUAGGUUAUGAUGCCAGGGUCCUGGGAUCAAGCCCCGUGUGGGGCUCCUUACUCAGUGGGGAGCCUGCUUCUCCCUCUCCCUCUGCCUGCCAUGCUCCCUCUCUCUGUGUCAAAUAAAUAAAUAAAACCUUUAAAAAUAAAGAAAGAGGGGGAUCCCUGGGUGGCUCAGUGGUUUAGCGCCGCCUUCGGCCCAGGGCCUGAUCCUGGAGACCCGGGAUCCAGUUCCACGUCGGGCUCCCUGCAUGGAGCCUGCUUCUCCCUCUGCCUAGGUCUCUGACUCUCUCUUUGUGUCUCUCAUGAAUAAAUUAAUGAAUCUUAAAAACAAUAAUAAUAAUCAUCCCUAUCACACCACUUUUGUUUUUUUCAACCAUCACCACUCUACCUUUGAAUGCUGCUUACAGCAGGGAAAAUCUGAGCAAGGCAACUCAGGGAAAGUAGAGCCUAAUGGAUUCAUGCAAACAAUUUUGCUUGAUAAUCCUAGGCUUUUAGAGAAUUUUGAUGUCAGAUAUUUAUUCUCCAUAUUCCCAUAAUCUUAGAAUGUAGGUGAGGGAAGACACCUCAUGAAACAAAUCUGUGUCCAUUAGCUGUCAUUCCUCUCUCCCUCCCCUCUAAUUUAAGAAGGAAAGAGAGUGGGGAUGCCUGGGUGGCUCAGCGAUUGAGCAUCUGCUUUUGGGCUCAGGGCGUGAUCUUGGGAUCCUGGAUGGAGUCCCACAUUGGACUCCCCACAGGGAGCCUGCUUCUCUCUCUGCCUAGGUCUCUGCCUUCCUCUCUGUCUCUCAUGAAUAAAUAAACAAAAAUCUUAAAAAAAAAAAAAA
rnacentral:lncRNA from 1 species